rnacentral:lncRNA from 1 species
GGUGUUUCUGUAUUUGUUGGUAACAAAACGUGCAGCCCUUCUUUGAACUUUUUCAAUGCUAUCUAUGUCUUGUUGUAAGUAUGGAUCCCAAACAGAGCAAGCAUACUCUAGUGAUGGUCUUACUAGGGACUUAUAUGCUUGCUCUUUAAUGGAUGUUGAACUUAUGUUCAGGUUCCUCCUAAGAAAGCCUAGUGUGCUAUUAGCUUUCUUGCAUAUGUUGUUAAUAUGCACAUCCCAUUUAAGGUUG